UUAAAUCUAUUCAAAUUAAUCCUCUCGAUCUCGGUAACAAAACCCUAAAGUUCUCCAUCCUUUCCAUCUCCGUAACAAAAUCCUAAAGUUCUCCAUCCUCUUCAUCUCCGUAACAAAACCCUAAAGUUCUCCAUGGAAAGCAUCCUCUUUCGCAUGAAGAGUCUGGCCCGCACGACCUUCUGCCUGGGCGUGGCAACCACCGCGCUCUCAUCCCUGAACAGUGUCGAUGUUGGCCAUCGUGCGGUGGUUGUCAACCGUUAUCGAGGUGUUCUCGAAGACACGAUUGAUGCGGGAAUUCAUUUCCGGAUUCCUUGGAUCGAAAAGUUUCAUAUCUUUGAUGUCCGUCGAUGCUAUCACCAAAUAAGACAACCACCAAAGACCUUCAAAUGGCCGACAUCCGAUUACACAUCCUUUUUCACCCCGACAUCACAAAACUCUCCCUCAUUGUUAAGAAGGCCUAUGAUAAGAAAACUUUUCCUGACAUAGUCAGGGAGGUGAUCAAAGACACUAUGUCUCAGGAAUUUGUCACCAUCGUCAACGAGAUGCUUCCGGACGUUAUUUCUCAAGUCAAAGCAGAGGAAUUUCUCACGAUAAUUCUUGGAUCUCUGCCCUCGUCCGCGACGGUUUAAUCCGUCGUGCCGAAGAGUUUUACAUCGCUAUCGAUGACGUGGCCUUGUUAGAGGUUGUUCUCACUAGGGAUAAAGCAUAAGAGUACCAAGGUUCACGAGAUGAAGCAGAUUUUUUCCAAGAAUGCAUCAAGGGAGAACCCUUUCCAGCAUCAACCAAAGCCAGCUAUUGAACCGCCUCCUUGGUCAAAUUCAUUGAGUGCAUAUGACAAUCUACAACAAGAAUCGGUGUGAUUUUUUUAACGCAAUUUCUGAUUCUGAGGUGCUUCAAUAGGUGCUUGUGGAAUUUAUUGUUCGGUGUGAGGCUUUAGCAUUAUUGUGCCGCUCUCUCAAUCGGUGGUUGUGGAGGUUAUUGUUGUGCCGCUUCCAAUCGGUGGUUCUGCAGGUUUCCGGUGGCGGUGAAGUUGAAGGUUUUUUUCAUUUUCGCGUCUCUCGUAAGUAACUUUAAGGUAGAGAAGCUGGACAAACUCAAUAGAUCUAGAUGUUUGGAGACACCUUAGACUAUGUAAAUGAGUUGGAGCUGCUAGAGUUGAGGUAAGGGAGCUAAUCCAUGAAUAACUUGUAAUGCUUUAUUUGGAAUGGUUGAUGUAUGUUGAUCCCUUUGAUUGACUUGUGUUUCUACCUUACCUUACCUUACGAAUGCUAGAACUUCCUAUAUGCCUUGUAAAUCUGAGUUACAAGGAAAAGAGAUCUUGGGUAGUAUGUUAAAAUAUUCAUUGAAGUCAUGAAAGUUAGUUUGAAAGCUUGAUUCUGCCUCUUGGCAUAUUAAUGAACAAACUCCUCGUUAGGUAAUAAAUUACUUAUGUUAGGUAUGUCUCUUCUUGGCCCAGUUAAUUUGGAGAUUUAUGAUGCAUUAGUUUUCUGAUUUUAGACCUAUAUUAUGUAUUAUAGUUCUGUUUUAGAUAAUAGUUAAAUGGACUCUAGUUGUUGUUGAAUCUUGGUUACUAAGAAGUAAUUAGUUAAACUUGACUAUUCUGAUUUGUAGUAUUGUUACUAAUGUAUCUCUUUUUAAAAGAUGUUGUCCCACCUUACCAAAAUGGUGGUUCAGCCUUUUCAGUAAUUGUGCAAAUUUCUUUUACUAUUUUAGUGUAUUUUAAUACUUGGACAUGGUGCUUGGCAAAAACUGAUGGAAGGUAUAGAUUGUAAUCAACACAUUGUUAUUUUAUGAUACCAUAACUUUCCUCUCACAUUAACGAGAACCAUACAUAAGUGUGGGGCAGCCUAUGUCUGAUGUGAAAUUUCUAUUUUGUGUAGCUUUUUAUCACUUCCGUGAGCUUAGUUGAUGCAAAGGACUUUUAUGAAAAUUAUUACACAUGGUAGGACACCUGGUCUAUUUUCUUUAUAAGAUUUCGGAUAGACCUUUGUUUACUUGAUAUAAGAUAGAACUUUUACUCCCAUAUAUAUAACACUCUGAAUAUGUUUUGGAAGGUUAAAAGAUGAUUCUAAAUCUUGCAAAUGUUAUGUGUUAUAUUUCCAGUUCGGUAUCUAUGAUUACUAUGAAACUAAUUUGAUAAAAUGGGAAACAGGAAUACUUUAUGUUUUGUUAUGAAUAAGGAAAUAAUUGGUGAUAUGGUUGUGCAGAAUGGUAUUGGGUAUCAAAAUUUGAAAUGGUUAUGAACUGGAACAUUAGAGUAUGCUCUGUUGGGUUACAUGUUUGAAUGAAAACUAUUUUGUUGGUCUGAAAAUGUUAUGACGCAAAUUAGAGCGAACAUGGCUUGUAUGGAUUAUUUUGGUUUAGUAGUUAUUAAUUUGAGUUGUUUUGUUAUAAUUUAGAAAAGUUGUUAGAGAUAGAUUUAUGGUAAACGGGAAGUAACAAAUGUAAAUUAUGAUUGAGAAAUAAUAAGAUAAGGGUCUAAAGUUGAACUGGAUGAUAUCCAGCAAAGUAUGGAGUUGUGUUCUAUGCAUGAGAAUUUGGAAUGUUUAGGGCCAUGCUACGUUAAGAUGUGAAUGGUAAGGAAUAAAUGUUAAGAUGUAGAUAUCGUGAACUUACAGCAAGAAUUAGCUUAUGGAAGAUAAUUCUUUAAAAAUGAAUAUAUUCUGCAGAACCGAAGGGUAUGAUUGGAGGCUUCUAUUUGUUAAAGCUGAAAUAUCCUAUUCUCACUAUAUUUUGAUAUGUUUCUUUAUAGAUAUAGGUGUGCCUAUGUUGUUUGCAUGAAUUGUGCUAAGUUCUAAAUGAUUCCUGACUUGUAAUAUAGUAUAAUAUGUGUGGAAGUUGGUGAUUUCAUAUUCUGACUGUAAGCUAUUCUGUUAGGCUAUUAAUUAAUUUAAAGAGAAUUAUAUUAGAUGAGAAAUGUUCGUAUAAGCUGGGUUGAUUGGAAUCUUUUACAGAUUAUCAAAUUCGAAGAACCUUUAGGGGUAGUAUAUUGCAUGAUAUAUUAAGUUUGGAAACAUUGGAAAUAGUAUAUAUAAUAUAAGGUGUUAUAACUUAGAAUAAAUAGGUAAUAUGUUUAAAUGGAAACUAUUUAUGUUUGGUCUGAAUAUUGUGGCACAUUAAUGUAAAUGGCAGGAAUUUUUUUCUGUUGGUCUGAAUAUUGAUUUGAAUAAAUAGAUAUGUUAGAUCCGUUGAGGUUUUGAGUGGUAACUAAUAGAGAUUCUUUGUAGUGCAAUUGUAUGGGUAUCUUUUAUUUGCUUCACUUUAAGAUAUUUUUAAUGUUUUAUUAGGUAUAUUAAGUGGUAAAUUAAGUUGAAGUGCUUUGAAAAAUAAUAGAAAUGGUACAGAGUUUGGUUAUAUUUAAAAAUUUGGUUUAGAAAGUAAGUUUGAAAUAUGACUUGUACGUAUAAAAAGAAUGACCGUGAUAAUGUAAAUAAAUCAAUUAUUAACUUAUUUGAUUAGUUUAUAAACUAAUUUGAUGAGUUAAAAAAAAAUAUUGAUAAGUAUAUAUUAAAGUUGUUUAUUUUAGAAAUUUUAAAUUGUAAGUUAUAAAUUAGCUUAUGAAAGAUAACUUAUUUAAUUUUCUUGUUUCUUUAUCUCUCAUAUUUUAAUGUGUUUUAUUUAUAUAUGUACAUAUGCUAUGAUCGUAUAAUGUAUGAUAUACGAGAGCUCAGACAGGAGUACUAAUGAUUCUGGAGCAGCUAAUGGACGAGAGAGGGAAAAUGUAAUGGAAAAUUUAUUUGUGUUCUAGAAAUUUCUUUAUAUAUGAAAGUUAUCUUGUUGUAACAUUCUGAAUCAUUAUUUUCAAUCUCGUUUAAAAUUUAAUAUUUAUGUAAUGAGUAAACUUUUUAAAUUUUUAUAUUUUAUUGACAUCAGAGGACGCUUUACAA